GGGGAGGCCAAUUGAGGAAUAGGGAAGGAUACGAUGACCGGAUGGAUCACGUUCAGAAAACUAAGCUUUCAUCAGCUAAUGCAGUGUCCCAGAUGACCACUAAAGGGAUUCUGUUUGUGGACUUGAGCUCAGCGUUCAACACCAUCAACUCAGACAUCUUCCAACAGAAGCUCACCCAACUCACAGUACCAGGCUCCAAAUGUCCAUGUAUUACCAGCUUCCUGACUGACCAGCAGGUGAGACUGGGGUUUAUCUCCUUCACAAAAACCACCAGCACCAGGGCCCCCCAAGAGUGUGUUCUCUCACCACUUCUCUUCGCCCUGGGCACAAAUGACUGCACCUCAGCAGACCUCAGCAGUUUGAGGAUGACACCACUGUUAUUGGUUUAUUCUAGGACAAUGAUGAGUCUGUAUACAAGCAGGACGUGGAUCGAUUGGUCCACUGGUAUGGUCAGAACCACCUGGAGCUUAACUCACUCAAGACAGUGGAGAUGAUGAAAGAAAACCCCCACACUGCCUCCCCUCACCAUCCUCAACAACACUGUGUCUACUGUGGAUCACUUUCAGUUCCUAGAAAUCACAAUUUCUCUUGACCUGAGAUGGUCUUCACACAGGAACACUGUUCAGAAGAAGGCCAAGCAGAGACUGUUCUCCCUGCUGCAACUCAAGAAGUUCCACAAGAACUGCUGGUCAUCUUCUACACUGCCAUUAUUCAGCCAGGCAGUCUGUCAUCUAUCACUGUGUAGUUUGGCUCAUCCGCAAAACAGGACAUGUUGAAACUACAACAAAAAAUUAGGUCUC